rnacentral:rRNA from 1 species
UACGAAGGGCCCGAGCGUUAUCCGGAUUCAUUGGGUUUAAAGGGUGCGUAGGCGGCUUGAUAAGUCAGUGGUGAAAGCCUGUUGCUUAACAACAGAACUGCCAUUGAUACUGUUGAUCUUGAAUAUGUUUGAUGUGGGCGGAAUAUGACAUGUAGCGGUGAAAUGCUUAGAUAUGUCAUAGAACACCGAUUGCGAAGGCAGCUCACAAAACCAUUAUUGACGCUGAGGCACGAAAGCGUGGGGAGCAAACAGG